rnacentral:rRNA from 1 species
GACGGGGGAUGCAAGCGUUAUACGGUCGCACUGGGCGAAAAGCGUCAGUAGGUGGUGAUGCAAGUCACUGGUGCAAAACUCUGGCUCAACCGGAGGAAAGCCAGUGAAACUGCAUGGCUAGAGUGUGGGAGAGGUAGAAGGAAUUCCCUGAGUAGCGGUGAAAUGCGUACAUACAGGGAAGAACACCGGAGGCGAAAGCGUUCUACUGGAACACAACUGACACUGAGAGACGAAAGCUAGGGGAGCGAAUGGG